UAGCAUAAUCAUUAGUUUUUUAAUUGAGAACUGGAAUGAAAGGUUAAAUAAAAAAUAAUCUUUAUUAAUUUUAAAAUAUUUGAAUUUGUUUUUUUAGUAAAAAAACUAAAAUAAAAUAAAAAGACGAUAAGACCCUAUAAAGCUUUAUAAUAUAGAUUUUAAUAAUUUAUUAGAAUAUUUAAAUUAAUUUUUUUGUUAUUAUUUGAUUGGGGUGAUUUAAAGAUUUAAUAAACUCUUUAAUAAAUAAAUUCAUUUCUAAAUGUUUUUUGAUCCUUAAAAUUUAAGAGUAAUAAAAUAAGUUACUUUAGGGAUAACAGCGUAAUUUUUUUAAAGAGUUCAAAUCGAUAAAAAAGAUUGCGACCUCGAUGUUGAAUUAAGAUAAAUUUUAGGUGUAGAAGUUUAAUUUUU
rnacentral:rRNA from 1 species